rnacentral:lncRNA from 1 species
UUCUUUCUGGUGGUUGGGGCGGAUAUGCUGCUGCUCCUUCAUGUUUCUUCCUUCAUACUGUAGGCUCUGUUGUAUAUGCUUCUUCUUGGUAUUUACCAUACUUAGACAAAAGGUUGAUACUGCCAUGGUGGCCACAUUGAAAAAUAAAGCUGGUUAUAUGGAAGUCAAGCGUGGCACUAAUGUAAGAUUAAAGGAAUGGAUAAAGUGGGUUGUAGCUAAAAAAAUACCUUAGAUUCUGUGUUGGUGCUUUGUUCAUCAUCUUGGUGUUUGUCCGCCGCUGAAGGUUCUGUUUUCUCUUCCAUUGUAGGUUUGCUUUGAAUAUGCGACAAAGAAUGGAUCAGGGGGAUUGAAUUGGUUUGUUGUUUAAGAAUUGUUUGAGAAAUUUAUGUAUGAG